AGUGAACGCUGGCGGUAGGCCUAACACAUGCAAGUCGAACGGCAGCACAGUAAGGGCUUGCUCUUACGGGUGGCGAGUGGCGGACGGGUGAGGAAUACAUCGGAAUCUACUUUUUCGUGGGGGAUAACGUAGGGAAACUUACGCUAAUACCGCAUACGACCUACGGGUGAAAGCAGGGGAUCUUCGGACCUUGCGCGAUUGAAUGAGCCGAUGUCGGAUUAGCUAGUUGGCGGGGUAAAGGCCCACCAAGGCGACGAUCCGUAGCUGGUCUGAGAGGAUGAUCAGCCACACUGGAGGUGAGACACGGACCAGACUCCUACGGGAGGCAGCAGUGGGGAAUAUUGGACAAUGGGCGCAAGCCUGAUCCAGCCAUACCGCGUGGGUGAAGAAGGCCUUCGGGUUGUAAAGCCCUUUUGUUGGGAAAGAAAAGCAGCAGGUUAAUACCCCGCUGUUCUGACGGUACCCAAAGAAUAAGCACCGGCUAACUUCGUG
rnacentral:rRNA from 1 species